rnacentral:rRNA from 1 species
CAGUUAAAAAGCUCGUAGUUGGAUUUCGGGUGUGGGGCGCCGGUCCGCUUCGGUGUGCACUGGCGGCCCAGGCCUUCUUGUCGGGGAUGCGCUCUGGUAUUGAUUUAUCGGACGCAGAGUCGGCGCAGUUACUUUGAAAAAAUUAGAGUGUUCAAAGCAGGCUUUCGCUUGAAUACAUUAGCAUGGAAUAACAUGAUAGGACUCCGAUCCCAUUGUGUUGGUCUUCGGGACUGGAGUAAUGAUUAAGAGGGACAGUUGGGGGCAUUCGUAUUUCAUUGUCAGAGGUGAAAUUCUUGGAUUUAUGAAAGACGAACUUCUGCGAAAGCAUUUGCCAGGGAUGUUUUCAUUAAUCAAGAACGAAAGUUGGGGGCUCGAAGAUGAUUAAGAUACCAUCGUAGUCUCAACCAUAAACGAUGCCGACUAAGGAUUGGCGGAUGUUACUUGAUGACUUCGCCAGCACCUGUGAGAAAUCAAAGUCUUUGGGUUCCGGGGGGGA